rnacentral:rRNA from 1 species
AGCGAACGCUGGCGGCAGGCCUAACACAUGCAAGUCGAACGAACUCUUCGGAGUUAGUGGCGGACGGGUGUGUAACACGUGGGAACGUGCCUUUAGGUUCGGAAUAACUCAGGGAAACUUGUGCUAAUACCGAAUGUGCCCUUCGGGGGAAAGAUUUAUCGCCUUUAGAGCGGCCCGCGUCUGAUUAGCUAGUUGGUGAGGUAAAGGCUCACCAAGGCGACGAUCAGUAGCUGGUCUGAGAGGAUGAUCAGCCACAUUGGGACUGAGACACGGCCCAAACUCCUACGGGAGGCAGCAGUGGGGAAUCGUGCGCAAUGGGCGAAAGCAUGACGCAGCCAGGCCGCGUGAAUUAUGUAGGUCGUAAAAUUGUAAUAUUCUUGCACCGAGGACGGUAAUGACGGUACCCGGUGAAAAAGCCCCGGCUAACUACGUG